UUCUAGGGAAAAGAAGGCAACCACCUUAUCUAAUGUCAGCUCCAUCAGUAAUAAUGGAUUAUAUAAGAAACUGCUGACUUGGGUGUCCUGCCAAGAAGAUUAUCAAUCUCCAGCACCUCCUUGUAUUUCCUUCUGCUUUCUAUGACAGUAUUACUUUUUUGAGAUUCCAGGGAUACAUGUGCAAGUUUGUUACCUGGGUAUAUUGUGUGAUGCUGGGCUUAGGAUUCAAAUGAUUCCAUCACCCAGCCUUCAGGAGCAGCUGUGUUUGGAAGAAUUAGAAUAGGUGCAUGUAUCCAUGUUUUUUAGAGAAUAUGGGAAGAGUCAAAGACGUUUGGAGAAAUAGUUUCCUGUAUUAAGAAAGGGUGAGCCAAGAAUAAUGGAAACUGUGUGUAGGAAUUGCUGGUUUGUGCCAAGGACUGUGCAGUGUACUUUUCAUUUCUUUGAUCUCUACAGAGCAGACAUUUAUCAGAUUCUGAGUAUUAUAAUCAGCAUCUUCUGGAGCAAUAUAAACAACUUGGCAGAGACUAAAACUAAAAAUGAACUCUCCAUUCCAUCUGGAGUCCAUACGAUUCAGACACAGGUCAUCGUCCACUCAACCUGCCAGUGCAUCUAGAUGACUCAUACAUUUAUGCUCUUCCGCCCAUUUCAUCUGGAUUCCUGAAGUCCAUGAAAAUUUCAUCUUAGAGUCUACAUUUGGGCUUUUCCUUGACCAUAACCUCUUAUCUGGCUUGGUAACUACCUGUCAUAGAAGAUCUCUCAAAUGACCUCAUCUCCAGGUUUGCUGUGUCCUUUUGUAGCUCACCACAUG